CUGAAUGUGCUUCUGUCCAUCAUCUGGGUCAUAUAUAGUUCAAUGCGAGCUGAGCAGACAGGGCUGCAAGGAAAUCUGGCGCGGUUCAAUACCUCGUCUAGCCUGGGUUCCAGUAUCUAAUUUUUUUUUUAACUGACAAACUCAUUUCUCUACCGGGACAGGAUGCUCUGCUGGCUGGAAGUUCCAUUUCUACAGCAAGAAUCCUAUCUGGAAACACAGAAGUUGUCCUCUAGCCACAGCAGCUCGAACUUUUUUGAUUGUUGUUGCUGCUUUCUCCCAUCACCCCCACCCCCUUUUGACAAAGAUCCAACUGUAAAAAGUCUUACGUAACAGUUCAGGACUACUUCGGUUCUUUUACUGGAGAGAGAGAAAACAGAAGCAGGCAGAGCAGUAGGCAGAGGGAGAAGCAGGCUCUCCCCUGAGCAAGGAGCAGAAUACAGGACUUGAUCCCCAGGAUCAUGACCGUAACCAACUGAGCCUCCCAGUAUAUCAAGAGGCCUCAAGAAGACUAUGAAAACAAUUACAUGUCCAAGUUGGAGCAAUGUGGGUUUCAAUAUUUCGUAGUACCUUUGGAAAAGGAAAAGAGCUGAUGGACAUUUGGAUUGCUUCCAGAUUUUGGCCAUCAUAAAUAAUGCUGCUAUAAACAUUCAUAUACAAGUCUUUGUGUAGACAUAUAUUUACAUUUCUCCUGGGUAGAUACCUUGGAGUGAAACUGUUGCAUCAUAUGGUAAGUUUCUAUUUAACUUUUUGUUUUGUUUUUAAGAAAAGGAUUUGCGGAGGGGCAAAGUGAAAGGGAGACAGAAACUUAAGCAGGCUCCACACCAACUGUGGUACACAAUGUAGGGCUCAAUCUCACAGCCUGAGAUCAUGACCUGAGCCAAAAUCAAGAGUCGGAUACUUAAGAAACUGGGCCACCCAGGCACCCCAUUUGCAACUUUUUAUUAAAUUUCCAAACUGACUUCUGAAGUGACUAUACCAUUUUACAUUCUUAUGGCAACGCACAAGGUUUCCAGUUGCCAUACAUCCUUACCAAUACAUUUUUAUAGUCUUUUUGACUACAGCCACUUCAGAGGCUGUACAGUAGAAAUUCACUGUGAUUUUAAUUUGCAUUUCCCUAAUAACUUGGGAUGUUGAACACCAUUUUAUGUGACAAAAUGUCUGUUCAAGUCUUUUGUCUCAUGUUUUUUCUUUUAUUUGUGAUAAAAUAUACAUAACAACAAAGUCUACCAUUUUAUACAUUUUUAGUGUGCAAUUCAGUGGCAUUAAAUUCAGAAGACUCUGCAACCACCAACACUAUCCAUUUCCAGAAUAUUUUCAGAAUUUUGUAUUUUUUUUAUUAUAUUUUUAAGAUUUUAUUUAUU